UGGCAGAAGAGCUAGAAUUCCAGCCCUUUCGGCGCUCAGCUCUUCUGAGGGAAAUGCCCUUCCUUUGCACUGCCUAAGAAGUCCAACACCCUUCCAAUGGAUGAGCUUAAGUCCCUCACGUUCCAACAGAAACCAGCUGAUUUCACUACAGUGGUGCAGAAUGGACAAAAGACUGGUUGUUUGGAUAUUUCUGAUUUUCACUGGGUUGGUAGGGAUUUGUGAAGACGUUUUAAAGCUGGAGAUUCACAGACCAUCAAGAUGCAAUCCCAGAUGUCAUCAAUAAACUUAGGCAUUGGUUACCAAUCAGCAGCUCCUGUUGAGCAAAAACUGAAUCAUUGUCACCUGUGUCAGUGAAAACAAAAGAACACCUUGUUAAAUCAGGAUCUUAGCUUGUCCUGAUUUACGUAUUAGUCUUGUUCUUCAUAAAUUGGUGUUUUUUUUAAUACAUGAUAUGGCAGUCAUCAAUAAAUGUUUAUGAGUGUUUGAACGAA